GUGACCCCCAGCCCUGGCGUCGCGGGGGGCUCCCGUAGCAUCGCCCUUCCUACCGUGACCUCCCCGGCCCCGGCAGCUCGCCUCAAGGCAGGCCGAGGUGCCGCCGGGAACGAAAGCCGUGACCCAUUUUCCGCGUUUUUCCGAAUAAUGCUCGCGAGCAAGCGCGCCUUGUUUUGCCGAUCGGCCGCCGCUGUGGUGGGCUGGGGGCAGGUCACUACCGCGGAGAUUCGGGCAGCUCGGGGAUUUGUUUCCUGGAUGUAGGGCAUUGGGGUGCUCGCAGCCUCACCCGGGAAAAGCCCUCGAGCAUCGCCGAUCCUGUGAUGGCUGGAGCUGCAGCACCGCACCCGGCUCUGCGGAGACGCUUCUUGGCCUUAAUUUGAGGACUGGAGUGGCACCGACGCACGAGUGGCUUCCCUUGCCUAGGAAAAAGCUUAAGACUGCUGGAAGUGCUGGUUCAGGUGCAGAACCGGGGGCACUGGGAAGUCUGCGAGUCACAGGCGCUCGGAGAACCGCAAAUUGUCAUAGCAGGGGUCCCUCCUCUCCGGGAGGCUUUGCUUCGCAGGAGGGAGCGGCUUGCUAAAACAGCGAACAGAUGUAUCCCUUCUCCUGCCCUAACUUGGAUUUCUCUGUGAGACAUUAUAGCUUUUGGUGGAUCUUUGCAGCCAGUGGCGCACAAAGGUGCUUUGUGACCCACAUGGCAGGUGAAGGCUCCUGCCUGGCUUUCUAGAGCCUUCUGCUAACACAGCUUAACAGAUGAACAGCAUGACCUACAUCUUUCCUGUCCAUGUUCUUCCAGUGCUCUUGAAGAAACUCCAGGCCUAAAAUGGCAUUAUAGCUUCCUCCCUCCCCUCAAUAUCUUUCAAUUCAAACAGUUUGGACAGAUCAGGUUUCUUACUAAACAUCUAACAGAGCAACUAAGUUGUUUCUGUCCACCUUGAAGCCGUUUUGCAGUUGUGCAAACACAUGCCAUGCACCUGAGACUCUGGGCUUCCACCCAAAGUCUUUCUGUUGCAGAGAGGCCAAAUGAGUUUUGAUUCUCAAUAAAAUUCAGUUUGAUGAAAACCCUGAAAA